ACUGAACGCUGGCGGCGUGCCUAAUACAUGCAAGUCGAGCGAACAGACGAGGAGCUUUCUCCUCUGCCGUUUGCGGCGGACGGACGUGUAACAAGUGGAUAACCUACCUCUAAGACUGGGAUAAAUUCGGGAAAAAGGUGCUAAUACCGGAUAAUAUAUUGCACUGGAUGGUUCAGUAGUGAAUGACGGUUUUGCUGUCACAUAUAGAUGGAUCCGCGCCGCAUUAGCUAGUUGGUAAGGUAACGGCUUACCAAGGCAACGAUGCGUAGCCGACCUGAGAGGGUGAUCGGCCACACUGGAACUGAGACACGGUCCAGACUCCUACGGGAGGCAGCAGUAGGGAAUCUUGCGCAAUGGGCGAAAGCCUGAUGGAGCAACACCGCGUGAGUGAUGAAGGUCUUCGGAUCGUAAAACGCUGUUAUUAGGAAAGAACAAAAGUGUAUGUAACCAGGCACGUCAUGACGGUACCUAAACAGAAAGCCACGGCUAACUACGUG
rnacentral:rRNA from 1 species